GACGAACGCUGGCGGCGUGCCUAAUACAUGCAAGUCGAGCGAAUCAAUAGGAGCUUGCUCCUGUUGGUUAGCGGCGGACGGGUGAGUAACACGUGGGCAACCUGCCUGUAAGACUGGGAUAACUUCGGGAAACCGGAGCUAAUACCGGAUAAUCCUUUUCCACUCAUGUGGGAAAGCUGAAAGUCGGUUUCGGCUGACACUUACAGCUGGGCCCGCGGCGCAUUAGCUAGUUGGUGAGGUAACGGCUCACCAAGGCGACGAUGCGUAGCCGACCUGAGAGGGUGAUCGGCCACACUGGGACUGAGACACGGCCCAGACUCCUACGGGAGGCAGCAGUAGGGAAUCUUCCGCAAUGGACGAAAGUCUGACGGAGCAACGCCGCGUGAGCGAUGAAGGCCUUCGGGUCGUAAAGCUCUGUUGUUAGGGAAGAAUAAGUAUCGGAGUAACUGCCGGUACCUUGACGGUACCUAACCAGAAAGCCACGGCUAACUACGUGCCAGCAGCCGCCGCCG
rnacentral:rRNA from 1 species